CCGAUGUCACUUUUUCUUCAAACGAGGAAUAAUAGCCAGUCCUCUGUAGAAUUUUCACUGUCUGGACCCACGUGCUAGCCGAGCUAUCCUCCAGGACCCGGCCCAGCCGCCGCCACCGCUCCCGCCCGUCUGCGGCCGCCCCGCUGCCCGCGGCCCCUUUGCAACCGCCCUCGUCCUCCCAUUGGCAGCGCCGCCCCGCCGCUCGCGCGCCCAUUGGUCCCGGAGGAGGGUAGGGGGCGGGAGCUGGAACCGCUCGGUUGCUAUUGGGUGGUUGAGGAGCGGAGGGGCGGUGACCUGCGGGUUCAUUGGUUCGGAGGGCGGUCAGUCCGGCCGUGAUUGGCGGCCGGGGGAGGGGCGGGCUUGGGGGUGGCUGUGGGGAGUCGACGCCAUGACAGUGCGGGGCUGGCUUGG